rnacentral:rRNA from 1 species
GGAGCCGGAAUUGCUAGUAAUGGCAGGUCAGCAUACUGCCGUGAAUACGUUCCCGGGCCUUGUACACACCGCCCGUCACACCAUGAGAGUUGGGAGCACCCGAAGCCGGUGAGUUGACCGCAAGGGGACAGCCGUCGAAGGUGAGACUGAUGACUGGGGUGAAGUCGUAACAAGGUAUC